rnacentral:rRNA from 1 species
GAUGAACGCUGGCGGCGUGCCUAAUACAUGCAAGUCGAGCGAACGGACGAGAAGCUUGCUUUUCUGAUGUUAGCGGCGGACGGGUGAGUAACACGUGGAUAACCUACCUAUAAGACUGGGAUAACUUCGGGAAACCGGAGCUAAUACCGGAUAAUAUUUUGAACCGCAUGGUUCAAAAGUGAAAGACGGUCUUGCUGUCACUUAUAGAUGGAUCCGCGCUGCAUUAGCUAGUUGGUAAGGUAACGGCUUACCAAGGCAACGAUGCAUAGCCGACCUGAGAGGGUGAUCGGCCACACUGGAACUGAGACACGGUCCAGCCUCCUACGGGAGGCAGCAGUAGGGAAUCUUCCGCAAUGGGCGAAAGCCUGACGGAGAAACGCCGGGGGAGUGAUGAAGGUCUUCGGAUCGUAAACCUUUGUUAUUAGGGAAAAACAUAUGUGUAAGUAACUGUGCACAUUUUGACGGUCCCUAAUCAGAAAGCCACGGCUAACUACGU